rnacentral:rRNA from 1 species
UAAUACGGAGGGUGCGAGCGUUAAUCGGAAUAACUGGGCGUAAAGGGCACGCAGGCGGUGACUUAAGUGAGGUGUGAAAGCCCCGGGCUUAACCUGGGAAUUGCAUUUCAUACUGGGUCGCUAGAGUACUUUAGGGAGGGGUAGAAUUCCACGUGUAGCGGUGAAAUGCGUAGAGAUGUGGAGGAAUACCGAAGGCGAAGGCAGCCCCUUGGGAAUGUACUGACGCUCAUGUGCGAAAGCGUGGGGAGCAAACAGGAUUAGAUACCCUGGUAGUCCACGCUGUAAACGAUGUCGAUUUGGGGGUUGAGCUUUAAGCUUGGCGCCCGUAGCUAACGUGAUAAAUCGACCGCCUGGGGAGUACGGCCGCAAGGUUA